AUUGAACGCUGGCGGCAUGCCUUACACAUGCAAGUCGAACGGCAGCACGGGAGCAAUCCUGGUGGCGAGUGGCGAACGGGUGAGUAAUAUAUCGGAACGUGCCCGGUCGUGGGGGAUAACGUAGCGAAAGCUACGCUAAUACCGCAUACGAUCUACGGAUGAAAGCGGGGGAUCGCAAGACCUCGCGCGAUUGGAGCGGCCGAUAUCAGAUUAGGUAGUUGGUGAGGUAAAGGCUCACCAAGCCGACGAUCUGUAGCUGGUCUGAGAGGACGACCAGCCACACUGGGACUGAGACACGGCCCAGACUCCUACGGGAGGCAGCAGUGGGGAAUUUUGGACAAAUGGGCGCAAGCCUGAUCCAGCAAUGCCGCGUGCAGGAUGAAGGCC
rnacentral:rRNA from 1 species